rnacentral:rRNA from 1 species
GGGGAAUAUUGGACAAUGGGGGAAACCCUGAUCCAGCGACGCCGCGUGUGUGAAGAAGGCCUGCGGGUUGUAAAGCACUUUUAGUGGGGAUGAAAAGCUCAGGGAUAACACCUCUGGGUCUUGACCUAACCCACAGAAAAAGCACCGGCUAACUCUGUGCCAGCAGCCGCGGUAAUACAGAGGGUGCGAGCGUUAAUCGGAAUUACUGGGCGUAAAGCGAACGUAGACGGUUGGAUAAGUCAGAUGUGAAAGCCCCGGGCUCAACCUGGGAAUGGCAUUUGAGACUGUGCAGCUAGGGUGCGGAAGAGGGAAGCGGAAUUUCCGGUGUAGCGGUGAAAUGCGUAGAUAUCGGAAGGAACACCAGUGGCGAAAGCGGCUUCCUGGUCCAGCACCGACGUUCAGGUUCGAAAGCAUGGGGAGCAAACAGGAUUAGAUACCCUGGUAGUCCAUGCCAUAAACGAUGAGGACUAGACGUUGAGGGGGUAAGCCUCCCAGUGUCGUAGCUAACGCGCUAAGUCCUCCGCCUGGGGAGUACGGCCGCAAGGUUG